UUUUCCAACCUUCUUCCCCCC
rnacentral:miRNA from 1 species